rnacentral:lncRNA from 1 species
GGGAGAGGCAAUCCCAGGAGGGAGGGGCAGGCUGACAGAACCUUGAGGGUGGCCCUGAGCCUUGUGUAUGACUUUCCUUGACGUCUGCUGGGGUGCGGUGUGUGCAGGAGUCAGUGGUAGACAUAUAUGUUCCCUUCCUGGCCUCCAUUGGUGUCCCCAUCAGAGUAGGGCUCUCCCUGUAAAAUUGCCUCCAGGAGAUCAUGAAGGGGGUGGUUUGGUCGCUGGGAAUCUCCUUGAAGAUGCUCAAGGUGUUUGUGCUUCAAGGACGAGGGUGCCUCAUCCUUGUUUCGAAAAUGAGUGGUGGGCUUGGAGGAGCCGAGGAGUGGGCGGUAGGAAGUUAUGUGAUCCACACAUCAUACAAGGGCAAUGUCACCCCUUGGGGCUCAACCUCAUGCCAUCCUUGGCCCAGAAAGAGAAGAACCACCUCUGGUACUGAUGAAGUGAGAAACUCCGGCUAGCAGGGAUAAAACCACAAGUUCUCCUGGCUUCACGGCAGAGAGCAGAGAUGCAGCCAGACAGCUUCUGGAAUUCUCCUGCACUGCAGAUCAGAAGGCUUCUGUGGUCUGUUUCCCACUCCCCAGGCCCGGGGACGCUGGAGGAUGGUCCUGCAGCCUAGUCGCUUUGUGAGCCCAGCCUGGGCACAGCGCGGCAGCGUGUCUGACACAGCAGCAAGACCACCAGUGCCACCGAGGACCCACAGUGAAGUCAGCUUCCUCAAAGUCUGCUUCAAACAUUUAUAAGACGAAAAAACAAAGAUUUCCCUCUGGGGUGGCUUUCAAAACUAGUUUUGAUCAUUU